rnacentral:rRNA from 1 species
GACGAACGCUUUCUUCUUUCUUAACACAUGCAAGUCGAACGGAAAGGCCUCUUUCGGGGGGUACUCGAGUGGCGAACGGGUGAGUAACACGUGAGUAACCUGCCCUUGACUUUGGGAUAACUUCAGGAAACUGGGGCUAAUACCGGAUAGGAGCUCCUGCUGCAUGGUGGGGGUUGGAAAGUUUCGGCGGUUGGGGAUGGACUCGCGGCUUAUCAGCUUGUUGGUGGGGUAGUGGCUUACCAAGGCUUUGACUGGUCGCCGGCCUGAGAGGGUGACCGGCCACAUUGGGACUGAGAUACGGCCCAGACUCCUACGGGAGGCAGCAGUGGGGAAGAUUGCACAAUGGGUGGAAGCCUGAUGCAGCAACGCCGUGUGCGGGAUGACGGCCGGCGGGUUGUAAACCGCUUUCGCUCAUGACGAAGCUUUGUGUGACGGUAGUGGGUAAAGAAGCACAGGCUAACUACGGG